rnacentral:rRNA from 1 species
GUAGGUGGCAAGCGUUGUCCGGAAUUAUUGGGCGUAAAGCGCGCGCAGGCGGUUCUUUAAGUCUGAUGUGAAGGCCCACGGCUCAACCGUGGAGGGUCAUUGGAAACUGGAGAACUUGAGUACAGAAGAGGAAAGCGGAAUUCCACGUGUAGCGGUGAAAUGCGUAGAGAUGUGGAGGAACACCAGUGGCGAAGGCGGCUUUCUGGUCUGUAACUGACGCUGAGGCGCGAAAGCGUGGGGGAGCAAACAGGAUUAGAUACCCUGGUAGUCCACGCCGUAAACGAUGAGUGCUAAGUGUUAGGGGGUUUUCCGCCCCUUAGUGCUGCAGCUAACGCAUUAAGCACUCCGCCUGGGAGUACGGCCGCAAGGCUG